AUUAAUAAAAUCCCCGGAGACUCUCCAGGCAUGAAUAGUCAAACCCUGAUUUAAGAGCUAACCCUACUUUAGCCGUGUCAUACACAAAGCUCAGUGGGUUAUGUACAGUAGAAGGUUGCUGGUUCAAAUCCCUUGCUCAGCAGAGCCUUUGAGCAAAACCUUUACUUAUUUCAAUGAAUGGUUGACCCUUUGGGCAAAUAAUCGAUAUCCUGCAUAUUGGGGAAUUAUAACUAUAAUGAAAGAACUGAUUGAAAUUAGCUGCUUGGCUGCUUGUCUGUAUCGUAAUUAAGGGCAGUAAUAUUUGGUUCAUGUGGCCCCUUAGUACAAAUGAAAUAAAUCGAGUUUUACAUACAUAGUCUCCAAGAGCCAUGGUAUUUAUAUCAGCGUUGGUGAUUUGAUUCCGAUUCGUAGCUGGUCAUUCACGGGCAUGUUUCGUGUGGGAUUACCAUGUACAUUAUGGGAUGAUUGGUUCUCAGUAAUGGAUGAAUGGGAUAUAAGAUUGUCACCAUCUAUUAAGAAGAUGAUGUUCAAAUUAGAUAAGUGUCCCCAUUAUCUGUAUUAAGAAGAAUGCAUGUCACAUGCAACUGUUUAUUAAGAUGUGUUGGUCCCAGCAUAGGCUGAUGAUGUCAGUAAGAUCUGACCAUAGUUUAUGAUGCAAUGGUGGGAAUGACUUUGCUAGGUCAGUAGUAUCGCUUCAUAGCUUUUAUUUGCAGCCUCAUAAUUUAUUUAGCAGAUGCUUUUAUCCAAAGUGAUAUGCAAGGUCAGAUAGUCCCUGGAGCAAUUAGGGGUUAAGGGCCUUGCUCAGGGACCCAAUGGUAAACUCACUCUGCUGAUUCUGGGAUUCAAACCAGCACCCAUCUGAUUACAGGCCUAGUGUCCUAAUCCGCUGAGCCACACACUGCUUUAAGUCGAUGGGAGGUCAUGUUAGUGGUGCUGGUAGGUCUUCGUCUAGAUACUGCCGUCUGCCUCCCUUUGAGAUUGAACGAGUCAGUAAGAAGCCCGGAUGCUGUGUGAAAAUCACUGCUUAAUUGGCAGUGGCUGAUCUAUCUCACGGUAUUCCCUAGGGAGCAGGUGGGCGGUGAUGAGGAGGGUGCACCCGGCCCUCACUCUAGAGCUUAUAACAGUCUGAGCUCCUAAGGACUGCGGGCGUCCAUCGCACUACAUCGGCAUUUUCUUGCCGUGAAAGUCAGUGCAAAUUCGGCGCCCUGCUUCAAACGGGGUUCGAUUUCCGAGGCUCGUCAGGAAGCCUGGUACCCGUGCUGCCGCCGUCAUGUCUCUUUGCUUAAUCCCUUUCCUGCCGGGGAAGGCUUUGACAGCAGGCUUCACUCCCGCACAGGCCCGCUGAGUAGAUGUGCUGGGUCAGUGAGAUGCCCCGCACCAAGGUAUGCUUGGGAAUUACGUAGCAUUGAACCUUUAAAUUCCAGAUUUAGAUCAGGAAGGGGGCUAAUGUUCACUGGAAAUUAAAAAUCGAAACUGCAGUAAUUCAGGAGGUUUUAGUGCGUCGACUAAGUGGCAAAAUAGUAAUUAUGUCAUUGUGAUAUUUAAAAAUGAUAAAUUCUAAAGCUGCUGUCAUUAAGCUAUAAAUGAGAGCUGUUAGCUGGUGACAUGGGACUGGCCAGCACUCUCAUGCUUUGGAUAAUUCGCCUCCUUGUUUUGGCAGCUAUCGGGCCUGCAGAGCCGGUUUUGUCUUUCCCUUCUACGCAGCCCGCUUGGAGGCCUUCGGCCCGGCCGGACAGAUGUGCCCCUAAGGCCUGCUUCAACCUGCGGAUGCUAACCUGCUGCACAAAUGCCCAAUAUUCCCAGCACCGCCGUCUUCCGAAGCCCUUCACCGUUCAGAACACGAUUUCGAUGCUUUCUCAACUCCAGAUGUGAAAUUCCAGCCAUAGCGGCCUGAGGCAUAUAUAACGUCUGGAGAACUUCUGUGUCCCAAAGGUCACAGCGGAUAUCAGCUUGGAUGCCUCAAGGUUUAGUCCUUGUUCUGCUCCUCUCUAGGACAACAUGCCCCUGCUGGGAUCUCUGCAUGCCUGGUCCACACUGCAGCCUGGAUUAUCUCUUCCAGCUGAACAUCUCAAAGGCCGAGCUUCUGGUCUUCUCUGCCAUCCCUACUGUUAACG